GGCAAACUUCCUCCCCAUCCUUACCUCCCUGCAGACGGACAUGCAAAAAUGGACAGAUCUUUAGAUCUCCUGGUUUGGGCGUAUUAACGCGAUCAAGAUGAAUAUCCUCCGGUGCCUCCUGUACCUCUUCCAAACGAUACCGAUCACUAUCCCGAAAGCGUUCUUUCAAUCCAUCACUAUGGCUAUUUGGAAACCUGUAUGGAAGCGGGGUGUGCCAAGGUUCAGCAAACAACUCAAACA